UAGUCACCCGUCGAAUCGAAAGGUUGAAAGAAAGUUUAGAUCUUUUAAAUUUUUUUGCCUUUUUACCCGCCCGCCCCGUCGAAAGGAAUACAAAGAAAUUUUCUACGUAAAAUUUUGCCUAUUUAAUUUUUAAGUGAUACAAAAUCUAAAACGAAAUACAUAUUCAAAAUAAAAUUCAAAACGUACAAACGUGCAAAAUAAGGAAUACAAAACAACAGCGACAUUGGUAGAAAUCCCCCUCAACCCCACAUUCCCAGUUGAGGCCCUAAAGAGGUGGGAUUUUGUGUAUGUCUGAUUGUGUGUAAGCGAGGGCGAGACAGAGAGAGAGAGUGUGUGAAUAUCUUAAUCAGACCCGGCCGUAAGUGCAAGGGCAUCGUGUAUUGCGGAAGAGUUCCAUUUUCCCUCCAUCAACAGCAGAGCAACUGCCAUCAAAAUGGGACGGCAGUCGUCUAGUACGCUGACCGUCGUCCUUUUGGUUGCUGCUUUAGGCAUUACAACAGCAUCGGUCAAUUCACCUCCCCGCAUUAUCAAACAACCCCCCACAGAUGAACUUCUAUUCAAAGUAGCUCAAGCAACUAAGGAAAGUGAUAAACCAUUCAUCAUCGAAUGUGAAGCUGAAGGAACACCAGAUCCAACAUACCGAUGGAUUAAGAAUGGCAAGAAAUUCGAUUGGCAAGCCUAUGAUAAUCGCAUGUUGCAACAACCCGGUCGUGGUACACUCGUCAUUACCUCGCCGAAAGACGAAGAUUUGGGCCAAUAUCAAUGUUUUGCUGAGAAUGAAUUUGGUAUUGCCACCUCGAACUCGGUCUUUGUGCGCAAGGCCGAGUUAAAUGCGUUCAAGGAGGAUGAGAAGAAGAUUGUCGAAGCCAAUGAGGGUGAACCCUUCUCGUUGCAGUGUCAGGCGCCCGAUGGCUGGCCCAAGCCCACCGUCAAUUGGUUGAUCCAAAACACAUUUGAUGCCGGCAUCAAGACCAUCAACAACUCACGCAUGACCCUGGAUCCCGAGGGUACCCUGUGGUUCUCCAAUGUUACCCGUGAUGAUGCCUCGUUAGAUACCUUUUACACUUGCUCAGCUACCUCAGUGUUCCGUAAUGAGUACAAGAUUGGUAAUCGUGUCCUUUUGGAUGUCAAGCAGACAGGCAUUAGCCCUUCGCAAAAUAAAUUCCCUCCCCGCCAACAAUAUGUGACUCGUAAGAAUGAAGUGGCGUUACGUGGCAAAUACGUGGAGCUGUACUGUAUCUAUGGUGGUACGCCGCUGCCCGAAACGAUUUGGAAAAAGAAUGGAGCUCCCAUUAACUGGGGCGAUCGCAUAUCUCAGGGCCACUAUGGCAAGUCUUUGGUCAUACGCUAUGCCACCUUCGAGGAUGCUGGCACCUACACCUGUGAUGUGUUCAAUGGUGUAGGCAAGGGCCAGUCUUAUUCCAUUAAUUUAGAAAUUCAAGCCGUCCCCUAUUUCACUGUAGAGCCAGAAAUACAAAAUGCUGCCGAAGAUGAGACUGUCGAGUUCCGUUGCGAAGCUUUGGGUACUCCUGAGCCCACUAUCCAAUGGAUCCACAAUGGUAAACCCAUAGCACAAGCAACCCCCAAUACCAGACGCAUUGUGGAAACCAAUCGCAUCAUUAUUCGCGAUUUGGUUAAGACUGACACAGGCAAUUAUGGUUGUAACGCCACCAACUCCCUGGGCUAUGUAUACAAGGAUGUCUACCUAAAUGUGUUGGCCCUGCCCCCAGAGAUUGAGGCACCUCCCCGCAAAGAAGCCACUGUGGCCGGUAAAAAUGUUACCAUGCGUUGUCGUGUCUUUGGUGCCCCCAAGCCCCAAGUAAAAUGGCUGCACAAUGGCCGCGAAUUGACAGGUGGACGCUUCACUGUCCUCCCCAGUGGUGAUCUACACAUCCAACAGGUUAUCCAUGAUGACUUUGGCCAGUACACAUGUUAUGCUAAGAAUAAAUUUGGUGAAAAAUCAGCCAAUGGUUCGCUGGAGGUGAAGGAAGCCACUCGCAUUACCCAGGGUCCCCAAAAUUACGAAGUAUCUGCGGGUCAGUCGGCCACCUUCCGUUGUAACGAGGCCCACGAUGACACUUUGAAUUUGACCAUUGAAUGGUGGAAGGAUUCGCAACAAAUCGAUUUUGAGGCCGAGGCUCGUUUUGUGAAGACCAAUGACAACUCGCUGACCAUUGCCAAGACCAUCGAACUGGAUUCUGGUGAAUAUACCUGUGUGGCCCGCACCGAACUGGAUGAGGCCUCUAGCAGUGCCAAUCUCAUUGUGCAGGAUGUGCCCAACGCCCCUCUGCUCAAGGAAGUUAAAUGUCGACCAAAUGUAGCCGAAAUCACCUGGGAACCACGCGGCGAUAAUCGUUCUCCCAUCCUCCAUUACACCAUUCAGUUCAAUACCUCAUUCACUCCGGCCUCCUGGGAUGUGGCCUACGAGAAGGUGCCCUCGACGGACACCUCAUUUGUGGUAGAUAUGUCGCCAUGGGCCAAUUAUACAUUCCGAGUGAUUGCCUUUAACAAGAUUGGACCCUCUCCCCCUUCGGGUCAUAGUGAAGUGUGUACCACCCAACCCGAUGUGCCCUAUAAGAAUCCCGAUAAUGUCCAAGGACAAGGAACUGAGCCCACCAACUUGGUGAUAACAUGGACUUCUAUGCCCGAAAUCGAUCACAAUGGUCCCAACUUCCAAUAUCGUGUUCAUUGGAAGCGUGACAUACCAGCAGCUACCUGGAAUACAAAGGACAUCUUCGAUUGGAAACAAGACAGUUUGGUGGUGGAGGACCAGCCCACGUUUGUGCGUUAUCUAGUUAAGGUGGUGGCCAUCAAUCAAAAUGGACAAGCCAAUGUUGCGGCCGAGGAAGUAGUAGGCUGGUCAGGAGAAGAUCGUCCUUUGGAAGCCCCCACCAAUUUCAGCAUGACCCAGGUUGUAGGUGCCACCUCGGCUAUUUUGAACUGGAAUCCCGUUAAUGUGGAAUCCAUUCGUGGACACUUCAAGGGCUAUAAGAUUCAGACCUGGACCGAAAAGGAAGGUGAGGAAGGUCUGCGAGAAAUUCAUGUCAAAGGUGAUUCAAAUCAGGCCUUGGUUACACAAUUCAAACCGGAUAGCAAGAACUUUGCUCGCGUCUUGGCCUAUAAUGGACGUUUCAAUGGCCCCGCCAGUGCUGUUAUUGAUUUUGAUACACCCGAAGGUGUCCCCUCGCCAGUAGAGUCAUUGAAUGCCUAUCCCAUGGGCUCCUCGGCUUUCUGGUUGGUAUGGAAGAAGCCCUUGAAUCCCAAUGGCAAACUUACCGGCUACAAGGUCUACUAUGAGGAAGUCAAGGGCAGCUAUGUGGGCGAGAGACGUGAAUAUGAUCCCCAUAUUACCGAUCCACGUGUGACCAGCAUGAAGAUGGCUGGUUUAAAACCCAAUACCAAAUAUCGCAUUGCCUUAGCGGCCACCACUAAGGCGGGAGAAGGCACCGAACAUUUCAUUGAAAAACGUACCCUAACCGAAGAAUCCAAGGAACCCGCAGUUCCCUAUUUCGAAUAUCAGCAAGAGCCCUCAGACAAUGGCUUGGCCAAAUUCCGCAUUAACUGGAUACCCAACAAGGAAGGUCAUACCGGUACACAUUUCUUCACCAAAUACAGGGUCAAGGGUGAAACCCAAUGGAAUACCACUCCCGAGGAAAAGAAUCGCGAUUACCAAGAGGUAGCCGGUUUAGAUCCUGAAUCUGUCUAUGAAUUCCGUGUAGUGGCCGUUGAUGGUCAUUUCAUGAAGGAAAGUGAAACGCGGGAGGUAGAUAUUGGAGCCGUUGAGGGUCCCAUAAAGGUGCCCAAUGAAAAUUUGGCCAAUGCCGGCUGGUUUAUCGGCAUGAUGUUGGCCUUGGCCAUCAUAAUCAUUCUGUUCAUAAUCAUUUGUAUAAUACGCCGCAAUCGUGGUGGCAAAUAUGAUGUGCACGAUCGCGAAAUGGCGAAUGGCAGACGCGACUACCCCGAUGAAGGUGGUUUCCAUGAAUACUCACAGCCAUUGGACAACAAGAGCGCUGGUCGCCAGUCUGUUAGUUCAGCAAAACCAGGCCUGGAAAGUGAUACCGAUUCCAUGGCCGAAUACGGUGAUGGUGAUACAGCGGGGGCGCGUAAACUUCAACAAACUUUACCUACUUUGUCAGAGCACAUAGAUGAGACUUCCGCCCCUCAGUCUUUUGGUAUUAAGAAGUAAUUAGAAAUUCAAUUUCAAAAUUUUGUAAUUUACCAUUGAAGUUUCAUAUCAAAAAAUCGUCCUCCCAAAAAAAACGUCUUCAAGGUCUGAACGAAGAUGGUUCUUUCAUAGGCCAAUAUGGACGUAAACUUUGAUUUAGUUUAAUUUCUAACAAGUAAACAACUUUUUUAAAAGUAACAAAACAAAAAUAGUUAUAAAAAAAACAAACCAUGUGAAAAAGUAAUCAAUCAUCUCCACCACCAACGCCGCCGCCAAGAUACUGAUGACAAAAACAAAAACCAAUUCAAUAAAUUCCAAAAUUAAAAAAAAAAAAAUCAGCUACUUCACUCCUAUUAUACCCAAACAAUAAAUCCAAGUUUAUUUUGUAUUUAGGUUUAAAAAAAAAAAACAAAAAUUUAAAAAUACUGCCAGCAGCUAUAUUAUUUGUUUAUUUGUAUGUUUUUUUUUUUAUUUCUUAUUUUAAUUAAAAUUGCAAUCUCGAAUCUUAAAACAAAACGACGAAUCAUCAUUGGAUAUAAAUAUUUUUGUCAGUAGUAAUUAUGUAUAACAAAAACUUUUCGUUUCAUUCUCUUUUUUUUUUUCUUUUUUUAUAAAAUAUAUUUGUUUUGUUAAAAAAAAUAGCAAUUAUUACAUCUAUUUUUUUAUAUAAUAAUAUUAAUUUUUUGUCCUUUUUGUAUAAGAACAUGUGUGUAUUUAAAUGUAAACAAUUUUUUCAUACGUCCCCUAGCAUCACACCCUAAUGUCCAAGCAAAUUUCCAAUGUAUCUUCUUUUUUAUCUAGCUCAUCGUUUUUAUGUGUAAUAAGUACCGAUGCUUUUCUCUCUUUCAUUGUAUUGUAACUUUUUUCUGUUUUUUUUUAUUAUUUUUUAUGUAAUUGCAUAUAUAGUUUUUUUAUAAAACAAGAAAAGCUUAACCUUAAACGUAAUUCUUUUUUUUAGUUUAAAAAAAAAAAAAAAAAACAACAGAAAAAUAUGAUUUAAAAAAGAAAACACCAACAAAAUCUAUCAAAAAUGUAUGCAUAUUUGUAAUGUUUAAUUU